AUUGAACGCUGGCGGCAGGCUUAACACAUGCAAGUCGAGCGAGCGGCGGACGGGUGAGUAAUGUCUGGGAAACUGCCUGAUGGAGGGGGAUAACUACUGGAAACGGUAGCUAAUACCGCAUACCAUCAGAUGUGCCCAGAUGGGAUUAGUGAGUAGGUGGGGUAAUGGCUCACCUAGGCGACGAUCCCUAGCAGGUCUGAGAGGAUGACCAGCCACAAUGGAACUGAGAAACGGUCCGGACACCUAGGGGAGGCAGCAGUGGGGAAUAUGGAACAAUGGGCGCAAGCCUGAUGCAGCCAGGCUGCGUGUGUGAAGAAGGCCUUCGGGUUGUAAAGCACUUUCAGCGAGGAGGCGUUACUCGCAGAAGAAGCACCGGCUAACUCCGUGCCAGCAGCCGCAGUAGUUC
rnacentral:rRNA from 1 species